rnacentral:rRNA from 1 species
CACGUAGGGCGCGAGCGUUGUCCGGAAUUAUUGGGCGUAAAGAGCUCGUAGGCGGCCUGUUGCGUCCGCUGUGAAAGCCCGGGGCUUAACCCCGGGUCGGCAGUGGAUACGGGCAGGCUAGAGGUAGGUAGGGGAGAAUGGAAUUCCCGGUGUAGCGGUGAAAUGCGCAGAUAUCAGGAGGAACACCGGUGGCGAAGGCGGGUCUCUGGGCUUUUUCUGACGCUGAGGCGCGAAAGCGUGGGGAGCGAACCGG